UACGUAGGGGGCUAGCGUUGUCCGGAAUCAUUGGGCGUAAAGCGCGUGUAGGCGGCCCGGUAAGUCCGCUGUGAAAGUCGGGGGCUCAACCCUCGGAAGCCGGUGGAUACUGUCGGGCUCGAGUACGGAAGAGGCGAGUGGAAUUCCUGGUGUAGCGGUGAAAUGCGCAGAUAUCGGGAGGAACACCAGUAGCGAAGGCGGCUCGCUGGGCCAUUCCUGACGCUGAGACGCGAAAGCUAGGGGAGCGAACAGG
rnacentral:rRNA from 1 species